GGCUAUGAAUAGCGUCAAUAGCUAUUCGCUCAAUAACUUCAGUUUCUUCUUCAGUAUUUUCAUACUCCAACCAUCUUUUUCAAUACAUGCGUAAUCUGUUGAAUCGCUUAAGUCGCUGAAAUCCGAGUUUGAAUCCGAGCUAAUGUCGCUAUAUCUUGCUGUGGUAUUCCCAUUGUUUGUUUACAUUGGCAGCACUGUGUGACGUCACAGGGAAAUGGCCAGUGUCUUCGCAGAGAGCGAAAAUAAGGCACUUUAAAGCUUUAUUUAGGGAUAUUCCGAGACCGGUAAAAUUUUGAAAAAAACUUCAAAAAAUACAACAAGCCACUGGGAACUGAUUUUUAUUGUUUUUAACCCUUUUGAAAUUGUGAUAAUGUUCCCCUUUAAGUCCUCGAUAUGAUGUUAUGACGGUAUUAAGUCCACGCUUUGCUAUAUUAUCACAGUAUUAAGUCCACGCUUCGCUAUAUUAUCACAGUAUUAAGUCCACGGUACGAUGAUAUCACGGUAUUAAGUCAAUGCUACAGUAUUAUCACAGUAUUAAGUUCACGGUACGAAGUUAUCAGGGUAUUAAGUCCACGGUACGAUAUUAUCAUGGUAUUAAGUCCAGGGUACGAUAUUAUCACAGUAUUAAGUCCAGGGUACGAUAUUAUCACAGUAUUAAGUCCACGGUACGAUGUUAUCACGGUAUUAAGUCAAUGCUACACUAUCAUCAUGGUAUUAAGUUCACAGUACGAUAUUAUUACGGUAUUAAGUGCAGGGUACGAUAUUAUCACAAUAUUAAGACCACAGUACGAUAUUAUCACAGUAUUAAGACCACAGUACGAUAUUAUCACAGUAUUAAGUUCACGGUACGAUAUUUUCAUGGUAUUAAGUCCACUGUACGAUUUUAUCACGGUAUUAAAGUCCAUGGUACAAUAAUAUCAAGACAUUAAGUCAACGCUACGCUAUUAUCACGGUGUUACGUUCACUGUCCGAUCUUAUCACAGUAUUAAGGCCACGGUACGAUAUUAUCACGUUAUGAUAUUAUCACAGUAUUAAAGCCACAGUAUGCUAUUAUCACGGUAUUAAGGCCACUGUACAAUAUUAUCACAGUAUUAAGUCCACGGUACGAUAUUAUCAUGGUAUAAGGUGUAUGGUACGAUAUUAUCACGGUAUAAGGUGUAUGGUACGAUAUUAUCACGGUAUUAAGGUCAGGUUACGAUAUAUUUUUAAUUAAGGCCACGGUAUGAUAUUAUCACGGUAUUAUUAAGGCCACAAUAUGAUAUUAUCGCGGUAAUAAGUCCACGGUACGAUAUUAUUUAUUAAGUCCAUGAUACGAUGUUAUCACGGUAUUAAGACCAUUGUAUGAUAUCAUCACGGUAUUAAGUCCACAGUACGAUGUUAUCACGGUAUUAAGACCAUUGUAUGAUAUUAUCACGGUAUUAAGUCCACAGUACGAUGUUAUCACGGUAUUAAGACCAUUGUAUGAUAUUAUCACGGUAUUAAGUCCACAGUACGAUGUUAACAGGGUAUUAAGACCACAGUACGAUAUUAUCACGGUAUUAACGCUACAAUCCAUCAAGCGUUGAGGCUUCAUACCUUACCAAAAUCGUACUAAAAACAUUUUGACACAUUUUUGAGCACAGUGUGUAAUGUUUUAUAUUCUAAACAUUUUGGUGUUGUUUACAUGAGUCAUAUUGCAGUCGACACGCAUCUCUUAUGUGUGACUGCCAUCUACAGGUCACACUUUGCAUUUACUAAAUGUACCAAAUAUAAUAACUUUGAGGCCGGUAAGCACAGCCAAAAUGAUUCCCUACAUCAGGGGUCGGGAACCUUUUUGGUUGAGAGAGCCAUGAAAACCAAAUAUUUCAAAAUGUAUUUCCGUGAGAGCCGUAUAAUAUUUUUUAAACACUGAUUACAACUAAAUGCGUGCAUUUUUAAGUAAGACCUGUCAUUUCUUUGUGAUCAUGUUCUGUUUGUUUUUGACUCCAUUAGUUCCUGUUUUUGCGCACCCUGGUUUGUUUUCGUUUCCGUGACUACCAACCAGUUCAUCUGUUUUCACGACUCACACACCUGAUUCACUUGAACUCAUGUACCUGUUGUCAAUCACCACGUCAGCAUUUAAGCCUGCAGUUGCCAGGCAGUCAGCCUGGCGACAUCACCUUCUACUCACCCUCUAUCACCCCUACACACCUAUGUUAUCCAUGCCGAUGAUCCAUGCUCUUGCUCGGUCCAAGUAAGUCUUUCAUGCCAUAGUUUGUAAGUUUUAUUUUAUGUUCAUAAUUCUCCCAUUGUGCGAGUUUUAGUUUUCAUAGCCAAGUUUUUAACCUCCACUGAGAGCGCCUUUUGUUUAUACCCUUUGUUUUUGUAAUAUUUUUGAGUUAAGAUUAAAGAUGUCACUACCUUCAA